rnacentral:rRNA from 1 species
GGUCUGGCCGGGCGGUCCGCCCUUUCGGGCGCGCACUGCUCACGGGCCGGUCCUUCCCUUCUGGGGAACCGCGGCGACCCCUUCGCGGGGGCCGUCGUCGGGGAGCCAGGACGUUUACCUUGAAAAAAUUAGAGUGUUCAAAGCGGGCGCACGCUCGAAUAGAUUAGCAUGGAAUAAUGGAAUAGGACCUUGGUCUUAUUUUGUUGGUUUUCGAAGGCCA